rnacentral:rRNA from 1 species
UACGUAGGGUGCAAGCGUUGUCCGGAAUUAUUGGGCGUAAAGAGCUCGUAGGCGGUUCGUCGCGUCGGCUGUGAAAACCCGAGGCUCAACCUCGGGCCUGCAGUCGAUACGGGCGGACUGGAGUUCGGCAGGGGAGACUGGAAUUCAUGGUGUAGCGGUGAAAUGCGCAGAUAUCAGGAGGAACACCGGUGGCGAAGGCGGGUCUCUGGGCCGAUACUGACGCUGAGGAGCGAAAGCGUGGGGAGCGAACAGG